rnacentral:rRNA from 1 species
GACGGGGGCCCGCACAAGCGGAGGAACAUGUGGUUUAAUUCGAUGAUACGCGAGGAACCUUACCCGGGCUUGAACUGCAGGAGAACGAUUCAGAGAUGAUGAGGUCCUUCGGGACUCCUGUGGAGGUGCUGCAUGGUUGUCGUCAGCUCGUGCCGUGAGGUGUCGGCUUAAGUGCCAUAACGAGCGCAACCCCUUUCGUUAGUUGCCAUCAGGUGAUGCUGGGCACUCUGGCGAUACUGCCACCGUAAGGUGUGAGGAAGGUGGGGAUGACGUCAAAUCAGCACGGCCCUUACGUCCGGGGCUACACACGUGUUACAAUGGGUGGUACAGAGAGUGGGUCGUCUGCAAAUGCGAUCAAAUCCUAAAAGCCAUCCUCAGUUCGGAUUGGGGUCUGCAACCCGACCCCAUGAAGCUGGAUUCGCUAGUAAUCGCGCAUCAGCCAUGGCGCGGUGAAUACGUUCCCGGGCCUUGUACACACCGCCCGUCAAGCCAUGAAAGCCGGGGGCGCUUGAAGUCCGUGACCGCAAGGAUCGGCCUAGAGCGAAACUGGUAAUUGGGGCUAAGUCGUAACAAGGGUGCCGUACAA